AUUUGACCCGAUUUACGAAACGAUCUUCUCUGCCUCUUGCUGCCCUCUGCUGUCACACGCCGAGGUGGCUCGGAGAGAGCUGCGGAGCCACAGCAAGGCUGGUCACUACGGAGCACCCAAAUCUGCCGGGGGAGAAGCCCUACAGUGUUCACAACCUGCUCUGAAGACAGCAUCCCUCGUUGCCAUAAGAGAGCUUCACAGUGAACUUCCUGCAUAGCAUCACUUCAAAGUGAGAGGGCUUGGCCAUAUCCCUUCCUACUGAAAACUG